AUUCUCUGUGACUGAGUGGGUCACAAAAAAAAUAAUCUGUUCUUAUCAGUUUAAUAUCUGAAACAUCCCCUAUCUGGGGACCAUAUAUUAAAUGGAUUUUUGGAACAAGGAGAUGGAAGAAGAGCUUGCUCUGUCCACUCCACGCAUUGACCUGGUAUUGCAGUACCUCCAGGACCGGUGCACCUCUC